UGCGCUCCGGGUCUUCGUGCUCCGGCGGCACGCUGCAGACCACGGACGGGUCCAGCAACCCCAGCCUGUCGUAUGGCCCCCUGUCGUACGGGACCUUCUGCGUCAGCGUGGUGUGCAAGAACUGGAUUGAGGCGUGCGGCAACGCCGUCAUCAGCAUCAGCUAUUCAGAGUGAGAGGGGCGUGUUGGAAGCAUGGAUGGGUGCACGCGCUUGAAACUGCGGAUGCCUGAGGGCGGCGGGGGCGGGUGGUUGAUGACUCAUAGCAAGCAAGCUGCUGCUGUGGCCGGUGCCGCUGCGCAGUGCUCACUUGCGUUGCUGCGUGGGAAGGCCGCCGCAUGUACGCAUCUGGCUUACGUUUGCCGUCAACUGCGUACGCGCCUGCGUGCAGGGCCCUGUCCCCGUCGCCUUCGCAGCCGUCUGAGCCUUCUGCGCCGCCACCUCCUGGCGACCGCGGAGGCUGCAGCUAUGACAAUUACGAGGCGUAUGUGGGCCGGGAUCAGCUGGACUACACGUAAGUCGUUUCGGUGAUGCUGGGCACGCACAUCUAGAUAGGCUGCCUGCUUUGCUUGCACACCGAUAGCUGGGCGAUGCUCGCUUUGCUUGUAUGGCAAUUAGGCUUCGUGCUUGGGGCUGCCAAGCGUACGUGAAGCCCUGCCGUGCUCCUUGGGGUCUUCGCUUUUGCGUCACCCGAGGGCGGGCAUUCGCAAGGGCUGGAUCGCCUGGCGGCAGGACAGCAUCGGCAUGGGGGUAUGUGCCCGAGCCCAACGAACAAGUAGUUCCACGCAUCUAUCAUCAUCAGAAAGCCCACCCCACGCAGCAUGCACGGGCUUCGCCAUGCCGCCGGGAGGUAUUUAAAAGCGAGGCCGGUUGCUUGGGGCUUCUGCCUGGCUGUGUGUGCGCAGGUGUGAAGUCUCCACGCCCAUGACCGUCACGGCGUCUGUGAGCUCCGAGGCGGGUGACAGCCUGGCCAUCGAGGUGCGCUCCGGGUCUUCGUGCUCCGGCGGCACGCUGCAGACCACGGACGGGUCCAGGAACCCCAGCCUGUCGUAUGGCCCCCUGUCGUAUGGGACCUUCUGCGUCAGCGUGGUGUGCAAGAACUGGAUUGAGGCGUGCGGUAACGCCGUCAUCAGCAUCAGCUAUUCAGAGUGAGAGGGGCGUGUUGGAAGCAUGGAUGGGUGCACGCGCUUGAAACUGCGGAUGCCUGAGGGCGGCGGGGGCGGGUGGUUGAUGACUCAUAGCAAGCAAGCUGCUGCUGUGGCCGGUACCGCUGCGCAGUGCUCACUUGCGUUGCUGCGUGGGAAGGCCGCCGCAUGUACGCAUCUGGCUUACGUUUGCCGUCAACUGCGUACGCGCCUGCGUGCAGGGCCCUGUCCCCGUCGCCUUCGCAGCCGUCUGAGCCUUCUGCGCCGCCACCUCCUGGCGACCGCGGAGGCUGCAGCUAUGACAAUUACGAGGCGUAUGUGGGCCGGGAUCAGCUGGACUACACGUAAGUCGUUUCGGUGAUGCUGGGCACGCACAUCUAGAUAGGCUGCCUGCUUUGCUUGCACACCGAUAGCUAGGCGAUGCUCACUUUGCUUGUAUGGGGGUUACGCGGCGUAUUUGGGGCUGCCAAGCGUGAAGCCCUGCCUUGCUCCUUGGGGUCUUCGCUUUUGCGUCACCCGAGGGCGGGCAUUCGCAAGGGCUGGAUCGCCUGGCGGCAGGACAGCAUCGGCAUGGGGGUAUGUGCGUGCCCGAGCCCAACGAACAAGUAGUUCCACGCAUCUAUCAUCAUCAGAAAGCCCACCCAACGCAGCAUGCACGGGCUUCGCCAUGCCGCCGGGAGGUAUUAAAAGCGAGGCCGGUUGCUUGGGGCUUCUGCCUGGCUGUGUGUGCGCAGGUGUGAAGUCUCCACGCCCAUGACCGUCACGGUGUCUGUGAGCUCCGAGGCGGGUGACAGCCUGGCCAUCGAGGUGCGCUCCGGGUCUUCGUGCUCCGGCGGCACGCUGCAGACCACGGACGGGUCCAGGAACCCCAGCCUGUCGUAUGGCCCCCUGUCGUAUGGGACCUUCUGCGUCAGCGUGGUGUGCAAGAACUGGAUUGAGGCGUGCGGCAACGCCGUCAUCAGCAUCAGCUAUUCAGAGUGAGAGGGGCGUGUUGGAAGCAUGGAUGGGUGCACGCGCUUGAAACUGCGGAUGCCUGAGGGCGGCGGGGG
rnacentral:lncRNA from 1 species